rnacentral:rRNA from 1 species
AUCGCGUCUCCCCCCCGCCCGCCGGGGGGAAGGAUGAUGGCCUCCCGUACUCUAACCGGGCGCGGCUGGCCUAAAACGGGAGCCCGCGGCGACGAGCUGCAGCGGCGAUUGGUGGUGGACGAGGCCUUAGAGGCCCCUGUUUGCAUCGCGUCGCGCACGCACGCCGUCGGGGAAGGGCUCGUUGGACCCUAAGGUGUUGCUGAAAAGCACAAACCGUU